GUCCAGUGGGAGGAAGCAGAGAAACCACAACUUGGGACUGAAACGAGGGAACCUGGGAUUUUUACUGCCUUUCUACCCCAUCGGUGCCCCUAUUCACAUGUUAGUGAGGGCCUGCGGCUAGAGGAAUGAAGCACACUAGCUCUUUUGUUGGUGAGCAAGUGUUUGAGUCCAAUUCACAGGGAAGAUGGCAUUUUUCACAGCUCUUCCUCCAGUUUUGGCCCUGUGUCUGCUGACCACAGGAUGGCAAAACCUAGGUUGCAGCUGCCAUUGCUCUCCAACCCUUUCAAAUGGGGUCAGCAACUCUGAAGAGCCUGCCUCCAAUACUAGGAUCUCUCUCUCUCGACUCCUGACCCACCUAGGACACAUACCAGCUAGAUCUGGAGGUCAUAUUUGUCCAUUAAUUGGAGAACAUGAGGCAUCUAGCUCCAGUCCCUGCUUUUUUCACUAGGUUGCUUUGCCAGCUGACGGCCAACAGCUAUGUGUGUUGCAUUCCCGGCAGGGGCUUUUCCAAACCCCACCAUUACUGCCAGGAUUGACAGAGAGGAUUGGGAAUCGCCUGGCAGAGAAAGAGAAAGGAAACAAAAUCGUGUUGUUUGGAUUCUGUGUUCCGUGUUUGUUUUCAUUUCUAAUGCAAUUCCCCAUUACUCUAUUGCAAUCUUCUCGAAACUUCUGGAAGCCUACUUAGUAGUCCACUUAGUUACUGGCCAGAAUGGUGCUGGAGACUCUUUUUCAUUUUGGGAUUUUAUUUUCUUGCUGUUGACCAGGAAGGAGGAGAAAGAGAAGGAUGGUCUAAAAGACAAGUAUUACCUGAGCCAGGGUGAGUCUGGUGCCAGGGCUCGCACCUGAGGCCCAUGCUCCAUUUUUUGGGGGGACCGGAGCUUUACUAUCAGUAUUAUUGAUGAGACUCUGGCUUCCUUUCCAGAAAUGAAGUAUUUUUGUCAUCAUGUCUAUUAUUCCUCACAAGAACCCAAUUAGGGGAGAUUGCCUCAACAGAGGAGGCUGAUUAAAUUCACAGAUUUAUCGCAAAACCGCUUUGGGAGUUGUGCAAAAUGAGUUUCACUGCUGAGCUUCCUUGGGUUAAAAAAAAAAAAACCUUGCAAGCCUGCACCUUGGAUUAUCCAUCUCUAACAGAUCAUAAAACACCCAUAACCUUGCAUGCAGUUUAUUCUUCUCCAGAGAGGCCCAAGAU
rnacentral:lncRNA from 1 species